GGAGUGGGGACUUGGAGGGGGGCAGGAUUUCUGCCAGCCUUGCGUGGAAGCAAUUAUCGCUCGUAGGUGAAAAAUCCGCUCUUAGGUAGGGAGAAGAAUUGUACCCAAGAAUCAAUAUUGGAAGAGGUCAUCUUUUCCACAUCGCUUAGCCUCUGAGGAUUACUGAUGCGCAGCUCUGUGUUUUGAGCCUUCACAAGCCAUUUUUCUUUUCUCUGGGACGACUGAGGUAUUGUGCUGCUUUCAGCCUCAUUCCCCGCACAGAACGACAGCUUCUCCAUGAAGACACAAAGCUGCUGCACAUCCAUGCCGAAGACCCAGAAGCAUGCUUGAUGUCAUUUUAAUCCUGAUGCAGUGUAGGAUAACUACCAGGAUUCUGGUCAGGUUAUCUGCUACCAAGAUGGGCACAACAGUCAUCACUAUAGAAGAAGUGAAGCAACUGGAAGAGAAGGGGGAGAAAGAGGAGUCAGUACUAGCCAUGCUUGGGAUCAUUGGGACUGUGCUCAAUCUCUUUGUCAUUGUGUUUGUCUACAUCUACACGACGCUGUGAGGACCAGCCCCGCGCCAAAGACGCAACCCUACUGUCUCGUCUGUUGGGUCAAACGGGCUCAUAACAAAAGGCAGAGCCAGCAUGCGUUAAAGGCCAUUCAUCAGCUGGUGUCCCCCGAGCAGCUGCAGAGAGCACCAUGGAAAUCACAGUCCUGAGACCAGCCAGACGGUUCAACUGCCCGACGCAGAGCUCUACAGCGUGGAGAAGAUAUUCAGCUUGCAAGGUCUUGGGGCCAGGCUAUAAGCAACAAAACUGCGUUGAAAAGACUGGCUGUGGAUCAGACAGAAACGACUGCUUUUGUAAGAGAAACUGAAGCCUCCUGAAGCCCAUCCUACAGGUUCACAUCACUCUGUUUCAUAAAAAUGCAAGGAGAAGAGGAGCAACACAAGUGACAAGGUCACUGUUCUGAAUAAACCAUGUUAAGACUGAAGAAAGUGGACAAGACCAGCCAGUUCUGUAAUUAAAAAACAAUACAUAUCCACUGAAUGUCAAACCUUCUCUGGAGUACUGGUCCGCCAACACAGAAUUUUAUAGCAUUACAGAUCAUAUUUUUACUGACUUGCAGAUAGCUCAUUACUUAAUUUCUCAGAAAGCAGAGAUGCCCUGAUACUUGACUACAGGCUUACCUAUAAGUUCAACUCUAGCGUUUUGAAAAUGACAACUGGAGGAUGACAGUUUCUAUUUACAUGACAUUUUACCAGUGAUAUAACUUAAAAAAAGAGAAGAAAGCUGCCAAAACUUAAGCUGUUGUUCUUGAUUUUCCUAAUUCUUCAAGACCAGACACAAAAGAGAGGUCUGCAAUAAUAAAAUAAAUAUAUUUUUAUAAUGAAAAGCACUGUAAAUUAUGUAAAAGGGGGAUAAAAUGUGCUAUUUGAGCCUUUCGGAUUGCAUCACUUUGCCAUUACCAAUGCAGGUUACUGUACUAAUAAGUGUACUAUUUGCAAUUACACAGUAUAAUCAGUUUGAUCAAACUAAUGUAUAUUUUCAGAACAGUAUAAAUACUAAAUGUCUGUAUAAAGAUGAGGAUAGACAGCUGUUUCUAUAUUGAAACCUAGAAGAUAGAAGGACGGAGAGAAAAUGUGAAGGAGGUGGAAAAAGCAAUCUGUGAGAAUUAAAAACACAGGGAAAUGUGGAGUUCAGCAGCACUUUAUAAAGGGGUUAUAAACUUGAUGUAUCAGUGGACAAGAAUUUAUAUCAGAAUAAGGGGACCUCUUCAGUCACUACAGUACAUCACAAAAUACAUUUUAUAGUGUCUAAAGCUCCAAUAUAUGAGCAUUGACUAUGGCCAUUUUUUUGCAUACAUUAUUUUGAGCUGGGAAGUAAUAAGGCACACCCAAUUUAAAAAGCUUACAUUUUUUUUUAAUUUACAAAUAAUUAAUACAGAAUAGAAACAUUAAUAAUUGUUAGUGCUUUAUUUUAGAUUGGUUUGAGUAAUCAGAGAUUUCUUCAAAGAGCCAUAUUAUACCACAACAUGAAUCCACAUGAAGUGCAUUAAUAAAACCCUUUAAGAGGUGGUAUGUUAAGAAGCAGUGUUUUUAAGGCAGGCGACUUAUACACUGCAGUGAUAAACCUGCUUUCCUUUGUGUAUAAUGCGACUGCCUGUACCCAUGUCUUAACAAUGAAAAAUUGUAUUUAUCAGCUUCUUCUGAGUCACAUGUAAAAAUAAAUCUUUAUUAAAAUCUUCA